rnacentral:SRP_RNA from 2 species
GGUCGGGUCCUGUGCGACCGGGGCCCGUGAACCGAGUCAGGGCCGGAAGGCAGCAGCUCUCAGCGGAACCCCCGGGGUGCCGCAGAUCGCCUGGCCGCC